rnacentral:rRNA from 1 species
UCCAAGGACGGCAGCAGGCACGCAAAUUACCCAAUCCCAGCAACUGGGGGAGGUAGUGACGAAAUAUAACGAUGCGGGCGCCCUUUUUGGGGCCCCGCAAUCGGAAUGAGCACUUUCUAAACAACCUGUUGAGAACCUACUGAAGGGCAAGUCUGGUGCCAGCAGCCGCGGUAAUUCCAGCUUCAGCAGCAUCUAUUAAAGUUGCUGCGGUUAAAAGGCUCGCAGUUGAAUGUCGGUAUCGAGCGCAGGUCAGGUGGACGCUGGGGCGUGGGAACAAAAGGCGUGGUACGGGCCCUUGCCUCGUGCAUGUGGUACCGGCCGCGCCUCUCACAUACCCCCGUCCGUUACAAGCCUCCUCGCUCGCGUACAUAUCGGAAUUGGUCAAACGGAGUGUGCGCAGUUCUGCUUCUCUCUCCUCCUCUGUCUGCGUGUGCGCGCGCGCUCUGCGUGUGUGUGCGCGUGGCGGUUGCGGGUUUGGGUUGUGGGGCUCGCACGUUAAGCUCCUUCGGUUUCAUGGUCACCUUGAGUAAAUCAGAGUGCUCAAAGCAGUCGUAGGGGCCUAGUGCCCUGUGAACAGUCUUGACGGACUGACUUGGUUUUGCAUGGCAUGUCGGAAGACGACGUCGUGUGCUGGCUCAGAGACAUAAAUCAGUGGUGCAAGCCAGCCUCGACGUACUGAUUAAGAGGGACGGUCGAGGGCAUUGGUAUUGCGAGGCGAGAGGUGAAAUUCUAUGACCCCCGCAAGACCUCCUGAAGCGAAAGCGUCUGCCAAGGACGUUUUCAUUAAUCAUGAACGAAAGUUAGAGGAUCGAAGGCGAUCAGAUACCGCCCUAGUUCUAACCCUAAACGAUGCCAACCAUCAAUCCGCGCGUAGCUCCCAUCUUAACGGGCUCGGCGGGCAGCUCCCCACUCACGGGAAACCAGAGUCUCUGGGUUCCGGGGGGAGUCUGGUUGCAAAGCUGAAACUUAAAGGAAUUGACGGAAAGGCACCACCAGGCGUGGAGCCUGCGGCUUAAUUUGACUCAACACGGGCCAUCUCACCAGGCCAGCACUCUUGUACGAUUGACAGAUUGAGAGCUCUUUCUCGAUUCAGUGGAUGGUGGUGCAUGGCCGUUCUUAGUUGGUGGAGUGAUCUGUCUGGUUAAUUCCGAUAACGAACGAGACUCUCCCCUGCUAACUAGUCGGCUGGAUCUUGAUCGGUGAGCUGUGUGCCGGGGGAACUCUUGUGCGGGCGCGUUGAGUAGCUGAGGCUCGUCCGAAGCUCUCUCGUUGUUCGUGCUCGAGCCUCGGACCACACACUCCAAGUCCGCCGCUUAUUGUAUAACUCUUCUUAGAGGGAUUCACGGUUCUGAAGCCGUCAGAGACUGAGAGCAAUAACAGGUCUGUGAUGCCCUUAGAUGCUCUGGGCCGCACGCGCGCUACAAUGCCGGGCACAGCAGGUGUUUCUCCUGCUCCGACAGGAGCAGGUAACCCUCUGAAAGCCAGUAUUUUUGUCGUGUCUGACACGAAAGGCGUGCUUGGGCCUGGGGCUUGCAAUUCUUUCCCACCAACGAGGAAUGCCUAGUAGCGGCGGGUCACUGAGCCCGCUGUGACUCAGUCCCUGCCCUUUGUACACACCGCCCGUCGCUACUACCGAUUGGGUGUACCAGUGAGAGCCUUGGACUGGCGUCCGUUGCCUUCGGGCAAUUGGGUCCGACGGAAAGAGGUCCAAACUGGUGCACUUAGAGGA